UACGGAGGGGGCUAGCGUUGUUCGGAAUUACUGGGCGUAAAGCGCACGUAGGCGGCUUUGCAAGUUAGAGGUGAAAGCCCGGGGCUCAACUCCGGAAUUGCCUUUAAAACUGCAUCGCUAGAAUUGUGGAGAGGUAAGUGGAAUUCCGAGUGUAGAGGUGAAAUUCGUAGAUAUUCGGAAGAACACCAGAGGCGAAGGCGACUUACUGGACACAUAUUGACGCUGAGGUGCGAAAGCGUGGGGAGCAAACAGG
rnacentral:rRNA from 1 species